rnacentral:lncRNA from 1 species
UGCCUGUUUAAUUGUGCUAAUAAUUUGCAUUGUGUUUCAGACAAUGUUGAUCUUGGAACUGCCUGCGGCAAGUACUACCGGGUGUGCUGCCUCAGCAUCCUUGACCCUGGUUCGUUGCCAUUCAGAUCACUUGCAUUUGUUUCCUCUUGCUCCCUGUAAUAUCUGCUGACACCAGUUACAUUGUUCAGGUGACUCGGACAUCAUCAGCACCACCACCACCACCCAGUGAAGAGAAGAGAGCUUUCUACCUAUUUUAUUUAGUCGAGUUGUAGGGUCCUGUUGUGCUCUUGGAACCACUCUUGUUAUCUUCGGUUUGUGUACCUUUUUGCGACGCUGAGUUGGAGCUGUCAUACAGAUAAUACUUCAUAUGGUUGUUCUGCUGGACAUUCAUGUGGUUUUGUUUUCAUGAUAUCGUUGUUUCCAUCUUGCUGUUG